GACGAACGCUGGCGGCGUGCUUAACACAUGCAAGUCGAACGGAAAGGCUCUGCUUUUGUGGGGUGCUCGAGUGGCGAACGGGUGAGUAACACGUGAGUAACCUGCCCUUGACUUUGGGAUAACUUCAGGAAACUGAGGCUAAUACCGGAUAGGAGCUCCUGCUGCCUGGUGGGGGUUGGAAAGUUUCGGCGGUUGGGGAUGGACUCGCGGCUUAUCAGCUUGUUGGUGGGGUAGUGGCUUACCAAGGCUUUGACGGGUAGCCGGCCUGAGAGGGUGACCGGCCACAUUGGGACUGAGAUACGGCCCAGACUCCUACGGGAGGCAGCAGUGGGGAAUAUUGCACAAUGGGCGGAAGCCUGAUGCAGCAACGCCGCGUGCGGGAUGACGGCCUUCGGGUUGUAAACCGCUUUCGCCUGUGACGAAGCGUGAGUGACGGUAAUGGGUAAAGAAGCACCGGCUAACAACGUG
rnacentral:rRNA from 1 species